UAAACAUUAUCAGGGCCCUCAGGAUGGGGUCCUGCUUGUCUGCAGAAAGCAGGAGCCCUCGCCCUGGUACGCCUUCCUCUCCUGCUUUUGGGAUAAGGAAGAGGAAGAACUCGAAGAAGCGACCAGGGUCACGGAAUUCUUCUUUUGACUAUAGGAGGGAAGAGCCACUUCAUCGGAUUCCGGGGAGGUUGUUCUUGAAUGGGUCGAGCGAUACUGCUUCACUGUUUACCCAACAGGGCAAGAAAGGGACCAAUCAAGAUGCCAUGAUUGUUUGGGAGAACUUUGGAUCAAGGACAGAUACAGUAUUUUGUGGAGUUUUUGAUGGCCAUGGUCCUUAUGGUCAUAUGGUUGCUAAAAGAGUGAGGGAUCACCUUCCCUUAAAACUGAGUGCUCAUUGGGAAGUCAAUAUAACUAGUGAGGAUGUUCUCAAAGAGAUUAGCCUUAAUACUACUGGAAGCAUGAAUUCUGAAGACACUGCUUUCAUAUCUGCUGAUGAAGAAUCUAGGGCUUCUGUUGAUCUUGAGGACACUGAAAAGCAUCCAGAUUUUUUUCAGACACUGAAAGAGUCAUUUCUCAAGGCUUUCAAAGUCAUGGACAGGGAACUGAAAGUGCACACAAAUAUUGAUUGCUUUUGCAGUGGGACUACAGCAGUUACAUUGAUCAAGCAGGGCCAGUAUCUUGUCGUCGGUAAUGUUGGNCAGGGCUGUACUGGGUACAAGGGACAAGGAUGACUCUCUUGUUGCAGUUCAGUUGACCGUUGAUCUCAAACCAAAUCUUCCAGCGGAAGAGGAAAGAAUUAGGAAGUGUAAAGG
rnacentral:misc_RNA from 1 species